UGGGUUGUGUGUCUAGUAUGCGAGUCGACGAGAUCUUCGGAUCUAGUGGCGCACGGGUGAGUAACGCGUGGCAAUAUGCCCUUUGGUACGGAAUAACCUCGGUAAACUGAGAGUAAUACCGUAUGUAUCCUCUGAUCGUGACUCUCAGUUUACCGAGAUUAUUCCGCACAGGAUUACCCCGCGUUGCGCGAUAUUCACCCGUCCGCCUCUACCCCGAAGACUACGUUCCAUAUCUGGUGGAGACCUGAUCCCCCACACUGUUCUUGACCCAGAUUCCAAAUAUAUCGGACUAUGCAGGGUAUAAUCUAAGCCAAAGGCGGCAUCCAUGAUCAAGGCAUGCCGCGUGAUCGAUCUGGCCUUAGGGUUGUAAAGAUCUUUCCGUUGGAAAGAUAAUGAGGUACCACCUGAAUACGCCCCGGUUAACUCCGUGCCAUCAGCCGCGUUAAUACGUAGUGGGCUAGUGUUAUUCGGAAUUACUGUACGUAAAGCGUACGUAUGCGGACUGGACAGUUAGAGGUGAGAUCCCGGUCUCAACCUUUUAACUGCCUUUUAAAACUAUCAGGCUACAGAUCGAAAGAGU
rnacentral:rRNA from 1 species